rnacentral:miRNA from 1 species
AUGUGAAAGAUGAGUUGAGAGAGAGAGAGAGAGAGAGAGAAGUAUGUAAGGUAUAAGAUGUGUGUGAGUGUAAGUGAUAUGAGGGGGUUAUAAAUAGUGAUCUCUCAGUUUUGACCCUAUUACCUAUUUUUGGUACCAACAUUCAUUCCCUUAUUAAUGCCACUCUCUCUCUCUCUCUCUCUCUCUCUCUCUCUCUUCAUAU